rnacentral:lncRNA from 1 species
CCCAAACUUCUAUUGCAAGCGGACUUCAUCCGAGCUCCUACAAGAGUCGGACUCCAUCCAAACUUUUAUAGUGGAUGGAUCACAGAUGAACUCCUACAACGGACGGGCUCCACUAGCCGGAUCUCUACUCCGAACUUCUUCUGGACUUCAUCAAUGACCAAGCUUUUCCAGCAAUGGGACUUCUACAAUAAGAAGUCUCCAUCCGAGCUUCCACGACAAUCGGUCUUCGUCUGAGCUUCUACAAUAAGCGGACUCCUUUCAGACUCCUACAAAAGUCAGACUCCGUCCGAACUUCUACAGCAGAAUUGAAUAUUGGAUUUCAGACUCCUCCGAUGUUCGACCUUCCACAGUGUCCUCAAGACUCAUCCAGUGGACAAACCUCCACAAUGCCAUCCGAACUCCACUAUCGGACGACCCCCUGCCGGAUUCUUCAUGAAGCUGGACCUCUCUGGCGGACAAUCUUCAGACGAGCUUCUACAUCAAGCAAAUCUCAGACGGACUUAUCUAGCAAUCGGACUCCUACCGGACUUCACCAACAGAAAGUCUCCGUUUGAGUUUCUACAGCAGAUGACUCCCGCCUGGAGCAUCAGCGCCCAAGACAUCUGACAACAGUAGUCUCAUCAGC